UACGGGGGGGGUAAGCGUUGUUCGGAAUUACUGGGCGUAAAGGGCGCGUAGGCGGCCUCUGCAAGUCGACUGUGAAAUCUCCGGGCUUAACCCGGAAAGGUCAGCCGAUACUGCAGGGCUAGAGUGCAGAAGGGGCAACUGGAAUUCUCGGUGUAGCGGUGAAAUGCGUAGAUAUCGAGAGGAACACCUGCGGCGAAGGCGGGUUGCUGGGCUGACACUGACGCUGACAGCGCGAAAGCUAGGGGAGCGAACGGG
rnacentral:rRNA from 1 species